rfam:Shinella sp. DD12 SHLA_129c, whole genome shotgun sequence.
GCUCGUCAGGCUCAUAACCUGAAGGCCGCAGGUUCAAAUCCUGCCCCCGCAA